rnacentral:rRNA from 1 species
UACGGGGGGGAGCAAGCGUUGUUCGGAUUUACUGGGCGUAAAGGGCGCGUAGGCGGCGGUCACAGUCAGAUGUGAAAUUCCUGGGCUUAACCUGGGGGCUGCAUUUGAUACGUGGUUGCUUGAGUGGGGAAGAGGGUCGUGGAAUUCCCAGUGUAGAGGUGAAAUUCGUAGAUAUUGGGAAGAACACCGGUGGCGAAGGCGGCGACCUGGUCCUUGACUGACGCUGAGGCGCGAAAGCGUGGGGAGCAAACAGG